rnacentral:tRNA from 1 species
GCACGUAUGGCGGAAUGGCAGACGCGCUAGCUUGAGGUGCUAGUCUCGGAAACGGGGUGGGAGUUCGACUCUCCCUAUGUGCAC